rnacentral:rRNA from 1 species
CACGUAGGGUGCGAGCGUUGUCCGGAGUUAUUGGGCGUAAAGAGCUCGUAGGCGGUUUGGCGAGUCGGCUGUGAAACCCCGAGGCUCAACCUCGGGCCUGCAGUCGAUACGGGCAGACUAGAGUGUGGUAGGGGAGACUGGAAUUCCUGGUGUAGCGGUGAAAUGCGCAGAUAUCAGGAGGAACACCGGUGGCGAAGGCGGGUCUCUGGGCCGUAACUGACGCUGAGGAGCGAAAGCGUGGGGAGCGAACAGG